GAUAAGUUGGGAAUCGUCCCUGAUAAAGUUUGGGAAGAAAUUCAAGAAUGUGAAGUUGAUGUGGUCCUGUCCCCGGACACAGCUCAUAGUGACAUUUCUGUGGAUAACGAUGCAGCACAAGUGAGAUUUACAGGAGACGUUAAGGGCAACAACAAAUGGUGCAGUGUUACUGGCAGUGACUGGCUAAAAGCACAGCAGGUUCACUACUGGGAGGUGGAGGUUGGUGAAAAAGGAAGUUGGGCAAUUGGACUGGCAUCUGAGAGCAUCAAAGACAAGCAGCUCAUUUCUGAGAGCCCAACAAAUGGAUUGUGGAUCAUCCGGCUAUGUAAAGGGAAGAAGUUAGAGGCCAUCUCAAACACUGAUGUCAAGGAAUGUCAAAUAAAACCGAAAAAAGUGGGAUUGCAUUGGCAAGGAAACUGCUUGCGUGUUUAUGAUAAGGAGAAAAAACAGCUCAUCCACAAAUUUGAUAUUGAGUUCAAUGAGCACUUGUAUCCUGUCUUCAGUCCAGGGUCACAUGACAGAGGACCAUUAAUCAUCAAAAUUAAAAACACAGAAACUGAAAAUCUGAAACGGAACUUUGGUAAGCAUACUCACUUGAGAUUGUUAACUACUAUAUACAAUGUGCUAACCCUGC